rnacentral:lncRNA from 1 species
CAUUUCGUCAACAAAAGUAAUUAAAACCUAAAGGGUGUGCAUUUCUGAUCUCCUAGAUGCUGAAGAUGAAUUACGGACAUUGGGAGGUACUCCAGGAGCCUGGGUUUCAAUGUGGAUACGAUAAAAGAUGAUGAAAAAGACCUCUCUCCAGGAAAGCAAGAAAAGGAGGGCACAAUUCAAGGAAGGAUCCAGAGCUCCUGUCCAGCUUUGGGAAGAGAUCAAGGAGGACCCCACUAAAUUGAUAAAUCACCUCACCAACGACUUCUCCGUGGCUAUUAGGGCCAUCAGGAGGGCCUUGAAGGGUGACUCGGAAUUGUUAUCAUACACGAAAAAACCACACCACCUUCUUAGAGGGUUAUGAAGGCCAAGAGGCUCAAAAGUCCAUAUUUUGGAAAUGUCGUUGAUGUGAAAUUUAAAAGAUUUAGGAACUUCUACCAUAAAAAGACCAAAGCAAUUUUACAAUUAUUGCAGAAGAAAAUUUCAACAUUUCCAACAUGAGAUCAAUAUUUUCUUUUGAUCCCUAAUUUAGGUCCUUUACAUUCUUGUACUGGGAUAAUGUGGUCUUGAAGACUAAACUAUUUUUAAUUGGUUUGAUGAAGGAUGCGUAAGGAAUGCAAUAUAUUGCUUGAGAGGGCGCUAUUGAUUUGAAAUGUAUAAGACUUGAGAGCCUUACCAAGAUGUAAGAGAUAGUGUCGGGGGAGCAAUAUUGCCAAACCCCACAAAAAAUGUUAGAAAAACAUGGGAAAUUAAUUUGCUAUGUUCGGGUAAUUAAAAAAAAGUAAUAGCCCGAAAUGUUUAUUGAACUAGUUUUUAACAUUUGUGUAAACCCCUUCCAUGAUUAUCAUCUAUUUAGUUUACCCCUACAUUGAAUAAGUAAAUCAGUGUGUUAAUUUUCAGACAAUGAGUGAAAGAAGCAAAUGGAAACAUUUUAAGUAUAAUUAAUAACCAAUGUUAUUCAAAUAAAUUAGUUAUUUAAAUCCAAAAA